GAGCCUCGGGCCUUGCACCUUAAUGCAGAGCCAAGCUGUGGUCACAGGACAAAGCCAGUGCGGGAAGGUGGCAGCAGCUCUGAAGGGAGCCUGGCUGUAGGCACUGCACAGCAAGUGAAGAUGAUAGGAAAGAGGUCCAACGACUGGGAGUUGAAGAAAAGGGGAAGUUCUGUGGAGUUUUAAGGACCAACACAGCUGUAACAAUGGAAGAUACUGAAUUUUCUGUCUGCAGUCACUUAAAUAUAAACUAACAUGCCUGUCUGAGUCAACAGAAGGAAGGACAGAAGGAAGUCAUUAAGCUCUAAAAUGGCACCAAGUCAUCCAUACAUAUUACUUCACAUGGGAACAUUCAAAUAUACAGACCAUUUACUAUAUUAUCACCAAUUCAGAAGAACUGAAAGAUUCAGGAAAAGACAAAGGGAAGCAGUCAGCACAAGUCAUUUUAUUGAGGUUAUUACUAAGAAAUAGACUUAAAAACUACAGUAUAUAGUUUAAUCUAUUUUUGCAUUUUGAAGCUUAACAAAAACAGAAGUCACAUUCUCAUCUUAAGAGUUUUGUCCUCAACUUAGAAACUCAGGCACUGGCCUAUAUAAAAAUUCCACGUGCCUUCUGCACAACUGCCAUUUUCUCUAUGUUGGCUGCUGUGAUUCAGGACAGACAAUUUUUAUUGAAGCUGGUGUUAGAGAGCUAUAGUAGCAGAUACAGCACAGACUAAAUUGGUUUUGAUCAUCAUUUAGAGUCAUUUUAAAGUCAUAAAAAAUAAAAUGAGCACAACUUUUUAAAGUUUUAAAUCAUACACAACACUUUUGGCCAUAGUGCUACCUUGGUUAUCAAUGGUAACCUUUGUAAAUAACGACUACACAACCUUUGUACGAAUACGAUUUUCACAAUGUGCAGUAUUGGGACAUGUCCUUAGGAAAGGAUGCAGGGGAAUAAGGGGAAUGAGGUGCCCCUUUACUCUCCUGCACAGGCUAUCCCACAGUCAGAGUCACACUUCAGGGAGGAACAGCACCAGGGGGGACUGCUACUCCCACUCCCAGGCAGGAAGAUGGGGGAAGAGAGCAGAGCCUUGGUGUGCCAGCCAGUAGCAGAUCAUUGUGCUCCUUGGUGUGGAGGGACAGACAAGACUUAGACAGCUGCAGUCCUUUCCCUGGACAGCUCCUGGGGUCGAGCAGCUAUGUACUUACCUCAGAUCAGACUGUAAUGUUACAAUCUAAGCCCUUAAAAUAAUGAUUCAGUUUUGCACCAACAACUAUGUAAUUGCACAUCUGAACCACCACAGCAGAGGAAA